CGCAUCUUGCGCCGCUCGGUUUUCCGAGGGGCACGUCUGUUUGAGUGUCACGUUAAUUAAUCACUUUAAUUUAUUUUGAAGUGGAAUUGGACUGUGCUGUUGUUAAUUCAACGGCUCGUCUCGAAAUGCAUUGUUGCCUGCAGAGUCUUGCGCGGAGCGAGACUGACGAAACGGUGUGAUAUUUAUAUCUGCGCUGAAGUAGUUGGUUUUGAGCUGCUGCACUAGUUGUGCUCUGGGCUUAUAAUGACGAGGGAAUUUUUUUAAUUCCCCCAAUUUAUUUUUGCGUUUGACCUCAAAUCAGAUGGGACUACCCGCUGAACUUAA
rnacentral:misc_RNA from 1 species